rnacentral:rRNA from 1 species
GACGAACGCUGGCGGUGUGCUUAACACAUGCAAGUCGGACGGUAAGGCCCUUUCGGGGGUACACGAGUGGCGAACGGGUGAGUAACACGUGAGUAACCUGCCCUCAUCUCUGGGAUAACAGUCGGAAACGGUUGCUAAUACUGGAUAUGAGCUUGCAAGGCAUCUUGUGGGUUGGAAAGAUUUUUUUUGGUUGGGGAUGGACUCGCGGCCUAUCAGCUUGUUGGUGAGGUAGUGGCUCACCAAGGCUUCGACGGGUAGCCGGCCUGAGAGGGCGACCGGCCACAUUGGGACUGAGAUACGGCCCAAACUCCUACGGGAGGCAGCAGUGGGGAAUAUUGCACAAUGGACGGAAGUCUGAUGCAGCAACGCCGCGUGCGGGAUGACGGCCUUCGGGUUGUAAACCGCUUUCAAUUGUGACGAAGCUUUUUUGUGACGGUAGCAGUAGAAGAAGCACCGGCUAACUACGUG